UACGUAGGGUGCAAGCGUUAAUCGGAAUUACUGGGCGUAAAGCGCGCGUAGGCGGCCAACUAAGUCAGACGUGAAAUCCCUCGGCUUAACCGGGGAACUGCAUCUGAUACUGGAUGGCUUGAGAUUGGGAGAGGGAUGCGGAAUUCCGAGGUGUAGCGGUGAAAUGCGUAGAUAUCUGGAGGAACACCGGUGGCGAAGGCGGCAUCCUGGACCAACACUGACGCUGAGGAGCGAAAGCCAGGGGAGCAAACGGGG
rnacentral:rRNA from 1 species